GAUGAACGCUGGCGGCGUGCCUAAUACAUGCAAGUCGAGCGAACAGACGAGGAGCUUGCUCCUCUGACGUUAGCGGCGGACGGGUGAGUAACACGUGGAUAACCUACCUAUAAGACUGGGAUAACUUCGGGAAACCGGAGCUAAUACCGGAUAAUAUAUUGAACCGCAUGGUUCAAUAGUGAAAGACGGUUUUGCUGUCACUUAUAGAUGGAUCCGCGCCGCAUUAGCUAGUUGGUAAGGUAACGGCUUACCAAGGCGACGAUGCGUAGCCGACCUGAGAGGGUGAUCGGCCACACUGGAACUGAGACACGGUCCAGACUCCUACGGGAGGCAGCAGUAGGGAAUCUUCCGCACUGGGCGAAAGCCUGACGGAGCAACGCCGCGUGAGUGAUGAAGGUCUUCGGAUCGUAAAACUCUGUUAUUAGGGAAGAACAAAUGUGUAAGUAACUAUGCACGUCUUGACGGUACCUAAUCAGAAAGCCACGGCUAACUACGUG
rnacentral:rRNA from 1 species